rnacentral:rRNA from 1 species
UACGGAGGGGGCAAGCGUUAUCCGGAUUCACUGGGUUUAAAGGGUGCGUAGGUGGGCAGGUAAGUCAGUGGUGAAAUCUCCGGGCUUAACCCGGAAACUGCCGUUGAUACUAUCUGUCUUGAAUAUCGUGGAGGUGAGCGGAAUAUGUCAUGUAGCGGUGAAAUGCUUAGAUAUGACAUAGAACACCAAUUGCGAAGGCAGCUUACUAUGGUGUCAUUGACGCUGAGGCACGAAAGCGUGGGGAUCAAACAGG